CACAUGUUAUUCCAUACCCAUCUAUUCUUUGGUCUUUUAAAAUUGAUACUAGUCUCUAUAACUUGAUAGAUAACAAAGUAGAGAAAACUAGAAUUUAAUGAUAUCUCUCGGUUCGUCCAUGUCAAGGAUUAUGUUGAAAGCUUGGUUUCAUAUCCUUAAAAAACACAUCAAUGUUGUCAGCUCGUCGUUCGUGUAUGGUGUGACCUUCUAGUAGCUGCGGUUUGCGUUGGUGCUUGGUAGUUUUGUGUUUUAUUCUCUGGUGCAGAUUUAGGUGAAAGAUUUUGGAGUUGAGAGUACUUGGACUUAAUUUCUUAAAAUUAGUUAUCAUAAUCUUGAAAAUAUAUAUAAAGACUUUGUUGAUGCGAGUUGCUUGCAGUCACUGUGUCCUUCGAGAGAUGGUGAUACACUGGUAUUGACAAACCGUAAUCAAACACAAGUAGUUCUCUAUAACUUGAUAGAUAACAAAGUAGAGAAAACUAGAAUUUAAUGAUAUCUCUCGGUUCGUCCAUGUCAAGGAUUAUGUUGAAAGCUUGGUUUCAUAUCCUUAAAAAUUAAUAUACAUGGAACCUUCGUCUUAUUUUGAUUGUGUUCACCAAAAGUAUAUCCAGGUUGAUUAAGGAUCCAGAAUUAUUCUAUGACGUGACGUACGAAGGUUGCUGCAACACAAUUCAACACUAUUUUGUUUGUACACUUAUUAAAAAAAUGACUUAUAUUUGCAAAUUAGAAAGAAUAUCAUUGGAAUUUUAGAACAUUAUUAAAAUGACUAUGGCUUUUCCAUCGACUUUUGUUAGUAGAGGCUAUCAUAGAGUUAGAGAUCACAUUUUUGGCUAAUCUCACAUCAAUUUGUUGGUUGUAUUUUUCAGAGAACACAAGUCAAGGUCAUUGUUGUAGCUAAGGCUUUGUUUGGAUGGUAAAGGAAAGUUUAAGAAAAGAAAGUAAAAUGAAUGAUUGUUAUAGGAAAGA